rnacentral:rRNA from 1 species
UAGGGAAUCUUCCGCAAUGGACGCAAGUCUGACGGAGCAACGCCGCGUGAGUGAAGAAGGAUUUCGGUUCGUAAAACUCUGUUGUUAGAGAAGAACAGCGCAUAGAGUAACUGUUAUGCGUGUGACGGUAUCUAACCAGAAAGCCACGGCUAACUACGUGCCAGCAGCCGCGGUAAUACGUAGGUGGCAAGCGUUGUCCGGAUUUAUUGGGCGUAAAGCGAGCGCAGGCGGUCAAUUAAGUCUGAUGUGAAAGCCCCCGGCUCAACCGGGGAGGGUCAUUGGAAACUGGUUGACUUGAGUGCAGAAGGGGAGAGUGGAAUUCCAUGUGUAACGGUGAAAUGCGUAGAUAUAUGGAGGAACACCGGUGGCGAAAGCGGCUCUCUGGUCUGUAACUGACGCUGAGGCUCGAAAGCGUGGGGAGCGAACAGG